rnacentral:tRNA from 1 species
UCCCGUGUGGCUCAGUUGGUAGAGCAUGGUGUUUGCAACGCCAGGGUUGUGGGUUCGAUUUCCAGUACGGAGA